rnacentral:precursor_RNA from 7 species
UCGUCAUCUGGCUCUCUGCCUGCUCCUGUAAAUGGAUGCGAUGGUUCCCAUGCUGUUCUGAGGCAGAGCUAGGGCCAUCUCAUCCAGAUACUGUGGAGAUGGUACAAGGCGCUUAGCACA